GAUGAACGCUGGCGGCGUGCCUAAUACAUGCAAGUCGAGCGGCAGCGCGAGUAGUUUACUACUUGGCGGCGAGCGGCGGACGGCUGAGUAACACGUAGGAACGUACCCCAAAGUGAGGGAUAACUGCUCGAAAGAGUAGCUAAUACCGCAUGUGCUCUAAGGAGUAAAGCUUCGGCGCUUUGGGAACGGCCUGCGUCUGAUUAGCUUGUUGGUGAGGUAAAAGCUCACCAAGGCGACGAUCAGUAGCUGGUCUGAGAGGAUGAUCAGCCAGACUGGGACUGAGACACGGCCCAGACUCCUACGGGAGGCAGCAGUAGGGAAUUUUCCACAAUGGGCGAAAGCCUGAUGGAGCAACGCCGCGUGCAGGAUGAAUGCCUUAGGGUUGUAAACUGCUUUUAUAUGUGACGAAUAUGACGGUAGCAUAUGAAUAAGGAUCGGCUAACUCCGUGCCAGCAGCCGCGGUAA
rnacentral:rRNA from 1 species